AAGGAAGGAAGGAAGGAAGGAAGGAAGGGAAGGAAGGAAAGAAAGAAACCUAUUUGUCUGACUCUAGAUCUUUAUGCUGACUACCGAAAUGUGUUAGUUGGUCAGAUAUAGAAUACCCUAGAACUUUUGCAUGUGUCCUAAGUGAUCAUGUUAAUAGUUACUACUCAUAAAGACCUUCUAUAUGUCGGGCCCUGUUCUAAACACUUUGCAUCAAUAUUCUCUUUUAAUCUGCACAGGGAAUAGCAUGCUGAGAGACAGGGGUUAUUGUGAUCAUUAUCUACAUUUUACAGCUGGGGAGACUGAGGUUUAGAGAAAUUAAGUAACUCACCAGGUCCUCACUAGCAGUUGGUGGAGUUAGGAUUCAGACUCAGGAACUCCACCGACCACAAAUAGCCAAUAUAAUCACUGAUUUGCUUGAGAAAGUCUAUAGUAAUCCCAGGAGAAAGGGCCCAUCAUGCAGUGAAGGAAUGCAGUUUUCAACAUUGGGUUCCUCACUGAUGUUAAUUUGGAUGAAAGCAGCUGAAAAUGAACCUCAUGGGACUUCUCAAAGGAGCAAACUUGUCACCAAAUCAGGGUGAGGAAGACCCAGGUCUUCCCUUGGGUUCGAGAGGGGAAGCUGAUUAGCUUACGGUAGGUAUGAAUUCAGUUCUUUCUUGGAAUCAGCUUGCGGAGUCACUGCUUGCUCUCUAGUGGUCACUGCCACUGGGGAUGACCUAUUAACAAUCGGGCAUGAGGAGCUACAGCUCUUAGCAUGCCAGCGGGGUAACCUAUUCUUUCUGCCCUUUCUUAGAUAGAAGGAGGCACUAGCAUUGUUCUGAGCCCCUAGAAAUUUGACUAAGUAAUCCUGCAGCAUAGAAUUUGACCCACUUGCUCAGGCAAGGGCUUCUAUCAUGCCCAGAGGUGAGGCAGCAGCAACAGAGGCUCAACCUAACUCAACAUGGUUGUGGAAGACCCUGUUGGUUUCCUAUCAGCCAUCCCCUCUUCUUUCUGUUAAUAGAAUGCUGAUAUUGUUUAGCUGACCCUCCUUCUCACGAUCUGAUGUUUCACUGAUGCCCAUAAUAGCUACUCCACUUACUUUGCCAGUUAGUAGCUAAGGAAAGGAAAAAUGACAUAAUUCUAGCCAAACAAUUGUGAAGGGAUUUAUGUGAGGGACUGGGGGCUCUGGAAAGGUUUCUGUAUGGAACUCUUUUAAAAAGACACUUUGAGAAAGCAAUGAUCUUUUUCCUUCCAUUGGAUGUUGUCAUGUGAUGCCCAGAACUGCAGCAGCCAUACUGCUACCUCAGUCUAUCUCCCCUGAGACCAAUUCAGCCACUCUGAGAAGAACAGAUCAACAUGAUGGGAAGAACCUGAACUCUUGAAGAGGUCAGCAAGAGAAGAUAAGGAGCCAUUUCUGCUUUCCAUUUAAGAAAAAAAGAAAUAGUUCUCUUUUUUGAAGAAAGUACAUGAAAAAAGAAGAGCAUCAAAUUUGGAAUCUGCCAUCUUCAACAGUAUCCUCUUAACAGAUGCCAUGACAAUACAGUGAGCUAUUCUUGACUUUCUAGCUAAAAUAAAUCGUCAAUUAUAAGUUGGUAUCAUUAGCCCAAUUGCUUUUCAGUGAGAUGUCUGAUACAGGCAAUAAUGGAUUGGUUUCUCCAACCUAAUCCUCCCACUGGAAACUAACAUAUCCACUGCUGAUCAAUACUUUGAUUUGAGUUACUUAUAACUCUGUCAGACAUGAGUAUCUGCUUCACUCCAGGGUAAAGAAAUGAGAUCAUUUUGCAAAAUUUAGGUCAGACAUUAAAUUGUCUCGGGUGAGUUGUUUUUGUGGUCUAGAGUCACAUGACCAAAUCAACACUGUAGAGGAUUAUCAGAAACUAAAAGGGGCAACCUGAAUAAGUACCCAUUGCCUUUAUUAAAGCCACGUCAUGGAGUAUAAUGAGGUACUAGUAGUCUGUGUGUUUGAAUCAUAUUUCAGGGAAAUGCUUUGCAAACAUGACUUUUGUGCUUUAAAUUAAAGUUCACACUGUUUGACCCAUAACUCCUCUUCCAGGAAUCUGUCCUAAGGAACUAUUCAGAAGCUAAAACUAAAAUGUAUGCAUAGAUAGCCUAUGCAAUAUUAUUUAUGAUAGAAAAAGUAAGUACCAACCUAAUGACCAAUAUUAGAAGAAUAUAAAAUAAAUUAAGAAAUAACCCUAUGAUGGACUAUUAUGCAGCCAAUUAUAGAUGGUAUUUCAAAGAGUAUUUCACUACCUGGAAACAUAUUUAAUAUAUAAUACUAC
rnacentral:lncRNA from 1 species